AUUGAACGCUGGCGGCAUGCCUUACACAUGCAAGUCGAACGGCAGCGGGGGCUUCGGUCCGCCGGCGAGUGGCGAACGGGUGAGUAAUGUAUCGGAACGUACCUUUCAGUGGGGGAUAACGUAGCGAAAGUUACGCUAAUACCGCAUAUUCUGUGAGCAGGAAAGCAGGGGAUCGCAAGACCUUGCGCUGAUUGAGCGGCCGAUAUCAGAUUAGCUAGUUGGUGGGGUAAAGGCCUACCAAGGCGACGAUCGGUAGCUGGUCUGAGAGGAUGAUCAGCCACACUGGAACUGAGACACGGUCCAGACUCCUACGGGAGGCAGCAGUGGGGAAUAUUGGACAAUGGGCGCAAGCCUGAGCCAGCCAUGCCGCGUGUGUGAAGAAGGCCUUCGGGUUGUAAAGCACUUUUGUCCGGGAAGAAAAGCCAGGGAUUAAUACUCCCGGGUUCUGACGGUACCGGAAGAAUAAGCACCGGCUAACUACGUGCCAGCCGCCGCCGUAA
rnacentral:rRNA from 1 species